GUCAUCUAGAGCAAGGUUCUCCAAUUCUGGCUCUCCAGAUGUUGCUAAACUACAACUCCUAUAAUUCUCUGGCUGUCUAUUUCAUGCAAAGAAUCAUGGGAGUUGUAGUUUAUCAACAUCUGGAGGGCUAGCAUUUGGAGAACCCUGGUCUAGAGCGUC